AACGCUGCAAAAAUACAGAGGUUCCAAGAGAGAAGUAUUGUAAGUUAACUGGUGUCCUAAUUUUGCCUGAAAACAGCACGUCCUGGGAGCCAGAAGCCAACCCUGCAUCCCAGGCCCGAGGCUAGGGCCUCGCCCUCAGCCAGGGACACGUAAGGAGUCCUGACCUGGGAACCAGAGCCCCGGGUCUUACCCACCAAGUGACCCGGGGAAUGUUGCUCAACCAAUCAGAGCCUCACUUUCCUCAGAUCUAAUACGGGGCCAAUGUAACUACCCUCACAGCCCCUCCACAGUCCCACGAGGGCAGGAAUCCUGUCUUUUUCAUCACCCUGCCUUGUGGAGUGCCAGACACAGAGCAGGUAGUAAUAAAUGUUUGUUGAGUGACUGAAUAAAAGUCUAUGUGACAAGUUUGCCUCCCCUCCCCCAAAGGCCUUAAAAACAGGGACUGGGCUGACCCAUCUUAGGUUCUCGCACAGGUACAGCUUUCACUCCUCCGUGGGUUUAUUCACGCAGGAAAUCAUCCACAAGGACCUACUACGCGCCUGGCCCAGUUAAGGCCUCGGUGGCAUCCAGGACCCACACACAGCCUCAGCUGUGUCCUCACACGCCACCCCCUUCGCUUUUUUCUGGCCAGUGACUAUAAUACUUAGUCACAGUGGGCUUCCUCGGCCCAAGACAACGACCCGGCUGCCCUCUAAACAGCAAGCUUGGCCCAUUCUGGGCACUUGGACAAUGAUUCCUUCACUUCCACUUCCUUAUACCCCGCCCUGGGGAAAUACAGCCCAAGGAAAACCCCUACCCUAACCCCACACAUGCACUGGCACACACACACAGCCUUGCACACAUGCACUCAACGUGCAGUAGGACCCUAGGACAGAAGUUGGAUUUUCUGAGUUCAGAUCCCAGUUCUUUUGCUUAUGAGCUGUGUGACUUUGGGCAAGUCCCUUUACCUCUCUGAGCCUCAUUUUCUUCCUUUAUAAAAUGGGAAUGCUAAUCAUGAAGCCUUUCCAUGUAGUGUUAUAGGGAGAUUCAAUGAGAUAGUGGAUACAAAAACCUUUGGUUCAUCAAAGUGAUUUGCUCAACGACAUUGUUAUUUUUGUUCCCUUUCUCCAGGAGGGAAAGAGAAUGGCAGUUGCCUAGGUUUCAAGGAAAUCCAUGUUUAGGGGGCCUGGAAUGUGGGAAUUUACCCAGUCUAUUUGAUGGGGAUUAUUUUGAGGAUAGGAAAGUAUUUGUGGGUCCAACAUCACCAUGUUAACUUUAAGAUUAACUAAUGAAAAUUUAGAAUCAGAGACUGGAAGAGACCCAAGAGGUCACCGUAUUUGUGGCAGAGACAGCUAGCUGUCCACAAAAAUUCGUUCUCCCUUCCACAGUACACAGCCAUAGAUGGGAAAGAGCCACCCUUGCCAAGAGCUACAUUUCACAGCCUCGUUUGCAACUAGAUUGGUCACAUGACUAGUUCUCGUGUGUGGCAGAAAACAGUUAAGAAGCAAACAUGCCCCCUCCAUACUUUCUUUCCUUGGUGACGAUGUCCAAGGGAUAGUCGGAAUGUGAGAUGGCUCACUGAAUCACUGUGUGGAAGAGGACAACCCUCCACUCACAAAUACCUGCCUUAUAACAAACGUCUGUUUCGUUUGAGCCAUUAUACGUGCUUGGGUCUAUUUGUUACUGCACCUACUACCCUAAUACAACAUUCAACCUCCUUAUUUACAAGUGAGACGAUUAGGGCCAGAGAAUGAGAGUACCUUGCCUAAGGUCACACAGCAAAUUCAGCAAUGGUUAAGAACUUUGGUGUCUUAACAAUUUGGAGUAGAUUUUGCAGUUUUCAACCUGCCCCCGAGAGCCAUGAGGAUUCCGAGAGGCCCUUCGGCAGUGAGAGUGAGGUUCAGUGAGCUGCCGUCUGGAGUCCUCCACUUCUGUUUCUACUAGAAAAACAUCACUUUUAUCUGUCUUCAAAUUGCACUUCUCCAUAUAUUUUCAUCAGAAGAAAGGGCUCUGUGGCUUAAACUAAUGUCAAAGCCCGAAUGCUUGAUGAUGUGGUCUGACUUUCUGUGGUACAAGACCAAGUUUUGCUUCUUCUCCACCAUUGUCUCCUGGCCUCAGCUGCUGACACAGGGCAUGUAGACUCGCAGAAGAGCAUAGAUAUUUGCUUAGAAAGGAAAAAAAGAAGGCUCAGUGUGCAAACAAAGAACCCAGAAACUUGGACAAAGGACAAAAAGAAAAGACACUUAGCUCAGUGGUUCUCAGAUUUUAGGGUGUGUCAAAAUCACUGGGGGUGCUGAUUCAAAAUGCAGACUCCUAUACCCCAUCCUCAGAGAUUCUGACUCAAAAAACUGAUGCUCGUGGUCCCAGGAUUGCCCUUUGAGAAGUCCUGGGUCUAAUUCGACUCGGUGUAAUUCGACAGCAAGAACUACAGGGAAGAUUGGUCUUGAAAAGGAGGUCAGGGAUGACAAAAAGGAAGCUGGGGGCUGGGCCCUUGCAUAGAGAGAGAAGGUAGACCCACGGCUCAGCCACUUGCUUGCUGGCCUCUCUGAACCACAUAGGUCUGAAUGAUCAGACUGACAUCAAGUAACAGUUACUUGAGUAUAAUGAUGUGCUGUUUGCUCAUAACUUUGCCAAACGCUGGUCCAAAUGGCUCACCCAUUUAAAAUGUGCUAAUUUGAAAGCAGAGAGGGGAGUGGAAUAUUUUCAACAGAUACCACUGGCAAAGGGUUCAUAUCCUUCAUAUACAAAGAACUCUUAAAUAUCAAUAAGAAAGGAGACAAACAUGCCGGCAAGGAACAAAUGGGAAUAGACUUGAGCAGGAUAGUCAUAAAAUGAACAAUAAGAUUAAAAAGGUUAUUCAGCAUGAAUGAAGGCGUGCAAAGUCAAGCAGCCAGAUGUUAUUCUCACCUUUCCCAUCAGGGAAGUUUUAGGAGAUGGGUAGCAACCAGUGUGGGUGAGGCUGUGAGAACAUCACACCCCAACACUGUGCCAGGGGAGUGCAAGCCGGCACAACCUUCCAGGGCGAUAGCCUCAAAAGACUUAAAAACACGCGAACACUUGAGCCAGGAAUUUCACCUUAGGAAACGUAUCCAUAGGCCCAAACACGCAAAGAUGAUGUACUAGGAGCAGCCUUUGCAGUGCUGUUUAUAAUAAUGAAAAAAAAAAGAGGAAGAAGAAGCAACCACACGGAGGAAUGAUUAAUAAAUCCCAACUCACCCUCUCUGUGCAGCCAUUAAAAUGUAUAUUGGAGGAACAUAGAAAAUACAGAUGCAGGUUCAUGAUCCGUGGUUAAGGACAAGGUAAGGUACGAAACGAGAUGUUGGAAAAGCAUGUGUGUGUCCACAUCUAGAUACUCCUAUGUGUCUGGUACAUUGUAAGCACUCAACAAACAUCACAGGUCAAGUAGUGAGAGGGUGAGUGAGAGUUCUACAGAGAGGCACCCGAAGGUUCACCUCUGGGUUAGGAACCCCUUCUUUCCUCUCCAUAGCUGAGCGGUAGGACAGUCCAGCAGCUAAGAAGGUGGGAUCUGCAGACUCUCAUGUCCUUUGGAUCUCAGAGCCCAGCCCCGCACCCCCCCAACCUGACUCUCAGUUUCUUCACCUAUAAGAUGUGGACAAUGAAAGCAUCUCCCUUGUAGGCUUCUUGUGAGCAUUAACCGAAGGGAAACACUGAGCUCGCUGCUCUUGUAACUAUGGUGACCUCGCUGGUUUUUUACAGUUAGCAUGCAUUACUUUGGAAAUCUGAAAAUCAUAAUAAAGCUAUUUCCAUUUUGACA
rnacentral:lncRNA from 1 species